UACGUGGGGUGCAAGCGUUGUUCGGAAUUACUGGGCGUAAAGCGCGUGUAGGUGGCUAAUUAUGUCAGGUGUGAAAGCCCUCGGCCUAACUGAGGAAGUGCGCCUGAAACUGAUUGGCUUGAGUACGAGAGAGGAGGACGGAAUUCCCAGUGUAGAGGUGAAAUUCGUAGAUAUUGGGAGGAACACCGGCGGCGAAAGCGGUUCUCUGGAUCGAUACUGACACUAAGACGCGAAAGCGUGGGUAGCAAACAGG
rnacentral:rRNA from 1 species